GCGGAAUGGCGGAAUUGGUAGACGCACCAGAUUUAGGUUCUGGCGCCGCAAGGUGUGAGAGUUCAAGUCUCUCUUUCCGCACCA
rnacentral:tRNA from 1 species